CGAACGGGUGUAGCAAUACAUAAGUGGCAGACGGGUGAGUAACACGUGGGAACCUUCCUAGGGGUACGGAACAACUCAGGGAAACUUGAGCUAAUACCGUAUACGUCCGUGAGGAGAAAGAUUUAUCGCCCUUAGACGGGCCCGCGUCGGAUUAGGUAGUUGGUGGGGUAACGGCCUACCAAGCCUACGAUCCGUAGCUGAUCUUAGAGGAUGAUCAGCCACACUGGGACUGAGACACGGCCCAG
rnacentral:rRNA from 1 species